rnacentral:rRNA from 1 species
AUUGAACGCUGGCGGCAGGCCUAACACAUGCAAGUCGAACGAGUGGCGGACGGGUGAGUAAUGUCUGGGAAACUGCCUGAUGGAGGGGUAUAACUACUGGCAACGGUAGCUAAUACCGCAUACCAUCAGAUGUGCCCAGAUGGGAUUAGCUAGUUGGUGGGGUAACGGCUCACCAAGGCGACGCUCCCUAGCUGGUCUGAGAGGAUGACCAGCCACACGGGAAAUGAGACAAGGUCCAGAAUCCUACGGGAGGCAGCAGGGGGGAAUAUUGCACAAUGGGCGCAAGCCUGAUGCAGCCAUGCCGCGUGUAUGAAGAAGGCCGUCGGGUUGUAAAGUACGGUCAGCGGGGAGGCGUUACCCGCAGAAGAAGCACCGGCUAACUCCGUGCAAGCAGCCGCGGUAAUA